rnacentral:lncRNA from 1 species
GACCAAGGGCCACGGCCACAAGCCGGAGAAGCCGCCCAAGGAGCACAAGCCGACUCCGCCCACCUACACCCCGAGCCCCAAGCCCACGCCGCCGCCGGCUACUCCCAAGCCGACGCCGCCCACCUACACGCCGAGCCCUAAGCCCAAGUCGCCGGUCUACCCUCCCCCGCCGAAAGCCAGUACUCCUCCGACCUACACCCCGAGCCCCAAGCCUCCGGCGACCAAGCCGCCUACCUACCCGACCCCCAAGCCACCAGCUACCAAGCCUCCGACACCUCCUGUGUACACUCCGAGCCCCAAACCACCGGUUACAAAGCCUCCUACACCCAAGCCGACCCCGCCGGUGUACACGCCGAACCCCAAGCCACCGGUUACCAAGCCUCCGACACACACGCCGAGCCCCAAGCCUCCGACAUCCAAGCCGACUCCGCCGGUGUACACACCGAGCCCCAAGCCACCGAAGCCGUCCCCGCCGACGUACACGCCGACCCCGAAGCCACCGGCUACCAAGCCGCCCACCUCAACUCCGACGCACCCUAAGCCGACGCCGCACACGCCUAUCCCCAAGCCCACGCCGCCAACCUACAAGCCGGCACCGAAGCCGACGCCGCCGGCGCCCACCCCGCCGACAUACACGCCGCCGGUGUCGCACACCCCCAGCUCGCCGCCGCCGCCGCCGCCGCCGCCUUACUACUAGACGAAGAAGUGAUGAGGUCUCCCACUCUGCUGUCAGUCUCGGAGCAUUUAGGUACGUGCUACAAGAAUGGAGCAUGCACAUACAUACAUACAUACAUACAUUUUCUAUAUAUGCUUGUGUCAAAUGUAUCAUACUGUACUCACUAACAAUCGGUUCCGUUUUUUUGUGUUGCAGAAGGUGAUCGAUCGAAGAGUUUGUGUCCUAGCCAGCCGGCCAAGAUGAGCUGCUGAUGAUGAUGAGAGGCGAGGAGCGAGUCGUACCCCUCCCUCCUCUGUGGUGUGCUGCCGGCCGAUCCAUGCAUCAUCCCCAGCUGCAGGAGAAAAAAUAAUGCAGAGCUCUGCUGCUCCGUCUGUUUCCUGUCCUCCCGUGUGUUAGUUUUUGUGUGUUCGUCCAUGUGUUAGCAGGUGUAUUUGUGUGGGUAAUGGUAUUGCAACUAUUGGUGUAAAACCAUAAUAAAAUGUGGAAAUAUAUGCAAGGAAAAAGCUUGUUCUAGUUCUUUUUUUUUGGGUAUCUUCUGCAGUCUGUCGCAGGCUCGCUGCACCGUAUGGCCUUGAGUCCUCUCGAUGCUACUGUAGCUCUUUCCAUCGAUGACGUGACUAGAUGUGUGGUCACACUGACACCUCUACAGUAAGGCCUUGUUUAGUUCUUAAAAAUUUUUAAGAUUUUCCGUCAUAUCGAAUCUUUGGUCGCAUGUAUGGAGCAUUAAAUAUAGACAAAAAUAAAAACUAACUGCACAGUUUACC